rnacentral:rRNA from 1 species
UACGUAGGGGGCAAGCGUUGUCCGGAUUUAUUGGGCGUAAAGAGCGUGUAGGCGGCCAUGCAGGUCAGCUGUGAAAACUCGAGGCUCAACCUCGAGACGUCGGUUGAAACCGUAUGGCUAGAGUCCGGAAGAGGAGAGUGGAAUUCCCGGUGUAGCGGUGAAAUGCGCAGAUAUCGGGAAGAACACCCGUGGCGAAGGCGGCUCUCUGGGCAAUAACUGACGCUGAGGAGCGAAAGCGUGGGGAGCGAACAGG